rnacentral:rRNA from 1 species
GAUGAACGCUGGUUGCGUGCCUAAUACAUGCAAGUCGAGCGAACAGACGAGGAGCUUGCUCCUUUGACGUUAGCGGCGGACGGGUGAGUAACACGUGGGUAACCUACCUAUAAGACUGGGAUAACUUCGGGAAACCGGAGCUAAUACCGGAUAAUAUUUCGAACCGCAUGGUUCGAUAGUGAAAGAUGGCUUUGCUAUCACUUAUAGAUGGACCUGCGCCGUAUUAGCUAGUUGGUAAGGUAACGGCUUACCAAGGCAACGAUACGUAGCCGACCUGAGAGGGUGAUCGGCCACACUGGAACUGAGACACGGUCCAGACUCCUACGGGAGGCAGCAGUAGGGAAUCUUCCGCAAUGGGCGAAAGCCUGACGGAGCAACGCCGCGUGAGUGAUGAAGGUCUUCGGAUCGUAAAACUCUGUUAUUAGGGAAGAACAAACGUGUAAGUAACUGUGCACGUCUUGACGGUACCUAAUCAGAAAGCCACGGCUAACUACGUGCCAGCAGCCGCGGUAAUACGUAGGUGGCAAGCGUUAUCCGGAAUUAUUGGGCGUAAAGCGCGCGUAGGCGGUUUUUUAAGUCUGAUGUGAAAGCCCACGGCUCAACCGUGGAGGGUCAUUGGAAACUGGAAAACUUGAGUGCAGAAGAGGAAAGUGGAAUUCCAUGUGUAGCGGUGAAAUGCGCAGAGAUAUGGAGGAACACCAGUGGCGAAGGCGACUUUCUGGUCUGUAACUGACGCUGAUGUGCGAAAGCGUGGGGAUCAAACAGGAUUAGAUACCCUGGUAGUCCACGCCGUAAACGAUGAGUGCUAAGUGUUAGGGGGUUUCCGCCCCUUAGUGCUGCAGCUAACGCAUUAAGCACUCCGCCUGGGGAGUACGACCGCAAGGUUGAAACUCAAAGGAAUUGACGGGGACCCGCACAAGCGGUGGAGCAUGUGGUUUAAUUCGAAGCAACGCGAAGAACCUUACCAAAUCUUGACAUCCUUUGACCCUUCUAGAGAUAGAAGUUUCCCCUUCGGGGGACAAAGUGACAGGUGGUGCAUGGUUGUCGUCAGCUCGUGUCGUGAGGUGUUGGGUUAAGUCCCGCAACGAGCGCAACCCUUAAGCUUAGUUGCCAUCAUUAAGUUGGGCACUCUAAGUUGACUGCCGGUGACAAACCGGAAGAAGGUGGGGAUGACGUCAAAUCAUCAUGCCCCUUAUGAUUUGGGCUACACACGUGCUACAAUGGACAAUACAAAGGGCAGCGAAACCGCGAGGUCAAGCAAAUCCCAUAAAGUUGUUCUCAGUUCGGAUUGUAGUCUGCAACUCGACUACAUGAAGCUGGAAUCGCUAGUAAUCGUAGAUCAGCAUGCUACGGUGAAUACGUUCCCGGGUCU